AGUUGCAUUCCGUAAGGGACCACUGGGUUAUCUUCUUCAGGAACCAACUGACCAGGCCAGGGUUAUCAAAAACAACCCGUCUCUGAAGGACAAAUCAGCACCAAUAAAGGAGGAGCUUGUUAGACAAAAUGCUUUGACUGUGGUACGUCAAGGAGGAGGUGAUGCAUCAGACAAAAAAGAAGUAUUUGGUGAAUACAUUCUGCAGUUUGGCAAACGCAACACAGAAUUAUAAGCUGCAGCAAUACCUACUGAGACAGCAGCAACAGUCAGGUGACUGUUUAUCUGUGGUUACCCACAGAAAUGGAUGAAGACACAGAGUUGGAGUGUUCAAUGCUGAGCAUCACCCCCUCUAAACUACAGGUACCAUGGUUUCGCUCCGGCCAUGUUUCAUUAACAAUAGUGUGUGUGCUGUUGGCAUUAUACUAACAUUUCAGGAGGCUGUAGAUUGAUUUCAUCCCUAUCAUGAAUUGAUACAAACCCUGUUCAGGAACCUCCUGCUUUCCUAUCAAAGCCUUGUGAUGACACUAAAAAGUCACCAGUCUAUGAGCUGAAAUUUCUUGAGUAAGAACCAUCACCUUUCACACAAUCAAAGAAAAGUGUUUCAGCUACAGGUGUGUUUUAUGUCAGGUUUUUGGGUGAUUCUAUCUCGGCCCACAUUUACAUCUUAACUGUUUAGCUUAGAUGUAUUGUACACUGUUUUUCGGGAGAGCACAGCGUUGUAGACAACUUUCAUGCACGCAGGACACUUACUUUGAGGACUGUGGCAAAAACGGUAAGAGUGUAUUGCACUCGAUUGGACUAGACAGGAUUAUGUUGAAUCAACUCUAUAUUUGGAUUGAUUAAUAUAUCCUUUUAAAAAAAAAUCCUUAAUCCUUUUUAAAUUCUAGUUUUUAGAAACUCUCUCAUCUUCACGAACCACAUCACGUAGUGUCCCACAAACAGCGGAGGCAU